ensembl:lncRNA
UAUAUGUUGCCACAUGACAGACGGCAGCAGAGGGACAGUCUGACGCAAUGGCGUCUGACAUGGAAGUCCAUGUGGAAGCCAAGGCAACAAGAAAACAUCAUUUUCAGCAUGAAUUCUGGAGAAGUCCUGCCUGGGAAAGUGAUAUAUGGUCAGAAGUAGACCCUCACUCUCGAACCUAAUUAGAAGAUUAGAAGCCUUCACUGUUCAGCAAGGUUUUGAGAGGACAGAAGCCUGAGACAGCUGGAUGUGGGAAUAUGAACCAUACCAUGCUCAAGCAGCUUUCUCAUAUUCUUUCUGUAACCAAAAUCCAUCUGUUUAACAUCAACCAAAAUACAGUCUGGGACAAAGUACAUUGUUAAUAGGGUGUGUUUGAGAGAAAAGUCAAAAGGAAGUGCCCUAAACUAAGUGAUUUCUGAAAGUAAUGGCUAUACAGCACAUACCACACAGUAGCACAGCUCUAAUGGAUAUUUUACUUCAGUCAUCACCAUUAACAGUGUGUUUUUGCAGGCCAGAUUCAAAAAUAAAACAGAAUAGGUGACAAAACAACUUCUCGAGUUAAGAGAUAAUAGUUCUUAAAACGAUAUUUUAAGGUUUGUAAGGCAUGAUACAAGAUAGCUGCAAAAUAAUAGCGAUAUUUAAGAAUGGGGAAAGGAGAAGGAUAAAGAAUGUACCUAACUCAACCAAAGAUGCAAUCUUUCCUCUAGAGAAGCAUGAAGAUUUUGGAUCCUUAUAAAGAUUUCAAACCUGGUAGCCACUUUAUCAUUUUAAAAGGUAACAAAUGUGAAAUAAGUACACAAAUUAAAACUUGUGAAACUAUAAGCACAUACAUACACACUGAAAAAAAAACCGAAACCUCAUAGAACAUGGCACACUCAAGUCCACACAUGCUCAGCUAUUUGAAAAAACUUGAUUUUUUUUCCUCCUCAUGAGGAAAAUAGGAUUCACCAUACAACAUCAGAACAACAGUUCAUUUUGUCAGUAAGUUUGUCUCCAACAGUAACCCAAGGCAGUGUUUCAAAGUAUAGAGACUAUUCUUCAAGAAAUAGUCCUAUAUUACCUUGCACCUAGGAAACCAGAUACUAAUUCCAAAAUGUUAACUCAUUUGAAGGCCUUUCAUCUCUCAAGUUCCUCUGUCCCUAAAAUACCAAUAUUAAUACCACUUCUUACCUACUACCUUGCAGCUAGAGACCCUGAUUUUAGGCCACAGUCCUAUAGAGUAGGACUUCAGCACUGUAUAUGAACAGAAACUGUGAGAUCACACCAACACACUUCUCUGAGGUACUGUAAAAAUACAGCUGAACUGAUUCCACUGAGGGAUGCCCCACUCUUGGAUACUGCACCCAGCUGGAUAUCAGUUUGACUGAAAGCUGCACAUUCUCUAACAUUUAAGAAAAGAAUGGAAAAUAUCUCAGAAGUUGAACAGUUUCUAUAUGAAGCAGUCAAAAAGUUAAUGACCACAUAAAAAAGAUCAUUAUAUUUAUGUAAACAAUAUAUUACACAUAAUAUAAUGUAUAUAAUAUAUACAUUUAUAUAUGUCAGAGUUCUUCCUGUGGUCAUCUGUGUGCACAUAACUACUAGAUUUCUACCAACAAAACGAAGGAUGCACAGUAACAAAGGGGACAUGGGGUGAAAUGCUGGACACGAGAAAAACGGAAGCAUGUUAAUGCAGAGACUAAAGCACACAAAAUGCAAUCUAACCUGCAGGAGGGUUUAAGUCUUCUAUCUCUAAAGCCUGUGCAACUCAGAAAGAAGCAUUUUGCAAGUGACACAUCCUUAAGUUUAAAUCAAAGGUUAUAGAAAGAUUUUUGUUUUCCUGUUGCCCUUGUUUCAGCUUCUAGAGAUUUAACAGUGUUCUGCACUAGCACAGUGUUCAUUCUCCAUCUUGAUUUCCUGCCUCUCCCAUUGUAAAUGUUGUUUGGACUGUCUGUUACUAACUUUACUUGUACAGUUGCUCUUAGGCUCACAGAAGGUUCUAUGAAGAUAGGUAGGCACUAGAGUAACUCAAGCAGAUUAUUUUAUCUGGUGACAAAUUUUAUAUGUAUGCUUAUUUUAUAAACGUUUUUAUCCUUGUUUUAUUAAAGAUAACUAAUAAGUAGUUUCCUUCUCUAUAAUUGUAUCCAAAUGAAAGAUGGAUUUGUUUGCUGGUAGAAGCUUGACUAUGUGAG